rnacentral:rRNA from 1 species
GGGGUAAUGUAGCUUGCUACAUUACCUAGCGGCGGACGGGUGAGUAAUGCUUAGGAAUCUGCCUAUUAGUGGGGGACAACAUCUCGAAAGGGAUGCUAAUACCGCAUACGUCCUACGGGAGAAAGCAGGGGACCUUCGGGCCUUGCGCUAAUAGAUGAGCCUAAGUCGGAUUAGCUAGUUGGUGGGGUAAAGGCCUACCAAGGCGACGAUCUGUAGCGGGUCUGAGAGGAUGAUCCGCCACACUGGGACUGAGACACGGCCCAUACUCCUACGGGAGGCAGCACUGGGGAAUAUUGGACAAUGAGGGGAACCCUGAUCCAGCCGUGCCGCGUGUGUGAAGAAGGCCUUUUGGUUGUAAAGCACUUUAGGCGAGGAGGAGGCUACCGAGAUUAAUACUCUUGGAUGUGGACGGUACUCGCAGAAUAGCACCGGCUAACUCUGUGCCACAGCCGCGGUAAUACAGAGGGUGCAAGCGUUAUCGGAUUUACUGGGCGUAAGCGCGCGUAUGUGGCCUAUUAAGCUAAUGUGAAAUCCCGAGCUUACUUGCGAAUUGCGUUUAGACUGGUUGGCUCUAGUUGGGAGAGGUGGUAGAAUUCCGGUGUAACGAGAAAUGCGUAGAAUCUGGACGAUACCGAUAGCAACGCUCCAUCUGGCUAUACUGCACUGAGUGCAAACAUGCGAGCAACGGAUAGAUCCCUGGUAUCAUGCCGUAACGAUGUCUCUACCGUUGGGCCUUGAGCUUAGUGGGCACUACGCGAUAGUAACCGCUGGCGGGACGGCGAUGAUAAACUCAAUGAUUGACGGGA